rnacentral:lncRNA from 1 species
GAGAAGGAGGGAAUAGUCAAUGUGUUGAAUUUGUGGAGAUAAAAUAAGAUAAGAACAGAAUAGUGACACUUGGAAUUGUCAGUGUGGAAACCAGUGGUGAUCUCAGAGUAUCCCAGCCAGGCAUUUGCCCUUUCUUCAUCCUGACAAGAAUGAAGAUGUUUGCUCUGUGGAGAAAGUGAACCAGAAAGCCUCCAUACUUGGCAACAAGAGGCACAGCAGACCACGGAGGGGCUCCACACUGAAGCCUGGGGGGGUUCAAUAAGAGGCUGUAGUGAAAUCCUGUUUCCUUCUAACCUUGCACACAGAUCUUCCAAUCAGGUUUCAAAUGCAUCCUUCUUAACCAUGAUGAACAACUUGGAAAAUUGCAUUAUGAAAGAGAUCAACACAUACAUACUCACACUUCCCCAGACUAUAGGUCAGUAGUUUCCAGACUUAAAAGGCUUACCGAGUAUCCAACACGAAGGAUGGAAAAAAUUCACACCAUCUCACGUUAUCCUAAAAUCUCAGAGCACGAAGGGGCCGGCUCCAUGGCCGAGUGGUUAAGUUUGCGUGCUCUGCUGCAGUGGCCCAGGGUUCGGAUCCUGGGCACGGACAUGGC